rnacentral:rRNA from 1 species
GAUGAACGCUGACAGAAUGCUUAACACAUGCAAGUCUACUUGAACUUCGGUUUGGGUGGCGGACGGGUGAGUAACGCGUAAAGAACUUGCCUCACAGAUAGGGACAACAUUUGGAAACGAAUGCUAAUACCUGAUAUUAUGAUUUUAGGGCAUCCUAGAAUUAUGAAAGCUAUAUGCACUGUGAGAGAGCUUUGCGUCCCAUUAGCUAGUUGGAGAGGUAACGGCUCACCAAGGCGAUGAUGGGUAGCCGGCCUGAGAGGGUGAUCGGCCACAAGGGGACUGAGACACGGCCCUUACUCCGACGGGAGGCAGCAGUGGGGAAUAUUGGACAAUGGACCAAGAGUCUGAUCCAGCAAUUCUGUGUGCACGAUGAAGUUUUUCGGAAUGUAAAGUGCUUUCAGUUGGGAAGAAAAAAAUGACGGUACCAACAGAAGAAGUGACGGCUAAAUACGUG